UAAGCGACUAAGCGUACACGGUGGAUGCCCUGGCAGUCAGAGGCGAUGAAGGACGUGCUAAUCUGCGAAAAGCGUCGGUAAGGUGAUAUGAACCGUUAUAACCGGCGAUGUCCGAAUGGGGAAACCCAGUGCAAUUCGUUGCACUAUCGUUUGAUGAAUACAUAGUCAAACGAGGCGAACCGGGGGAACUGAAACAUCUAAGUACCCCGAGGAAAAGAAAUCAACCGAGAUUCCCCCAGUAGCGGCGAGCGAACGGGGAGCAGCCCGGAGUCUGAAUCAGCUUGUGUGUUAGUGGAAGCGUCUGGAAAGUCGCAGGGUACAGGGUGAUACUCCCGUACACUAAAACACACAGGUUGUGAACUCGAAGAGUAGGGCGGGACACGUGGUAUCCUGUCUGAAUAUGGGGGGACCAUCCUCCAAGGCUAAAUACUCCUGACUGACCGAUAGUGAACCAGUACCGUGAGGGAAAGGCGAAAAGAACCCCGGCGAGGGGAGUGAAAAAGAACCUGAAACCGUGUACGUACAAGCAGUAGGAGCCCACUAGUUGGGUGACUGCGUACCUUUUGUAUAAUGGGUCAGCGACUUAUAUUCUGUAGCAAGGUUAACCGUAUAGGGGAGCCGCAGGGAAACCGAGUCUUAACUGGGCGUUAAGUUGCAGGGUAUAGACCCGAAACCCGGUGAUCUAGCCAUGGGCAGGUUGAAGGUUGGGUAACACUAACUGGAGGACCGAACCGACUAAUGUUGAAAAAUUAGCGGAUGACUUGUGGCUGGGGGUGAAAGGCCAAUCAAACCGGGAGAUAGCUGGUUCUCCCCGAAAGCUAUUUAGGUAGCGCCUCGUGAACUCAUCUUCGGGGGUAGAGCACUGUUUCGGCUAGGGGGUCAUCCCGACUUACCAACCCGAUGCAAACUACGAAUACCGAAGAAUGUUAUCACGGGAGACACACGGCGGGUGCUAACGUCCGUCGUGAAGAGGGAAACAACCCAGACCGCCAGCUAAGGUCCCAAAGUCAUGGUUAAGUGGGAAACGAUGUGGGAAGGCCCAGACAGCCAGGAUGUUGGCUUAGAAGCAGCCAUCAUUUAAAGAAAGCGUAAUAGCUCACUGGUCGAGUCGGCCUGCGCGGAAGAUGUAACGGGGCUAAACCAUGCACCGAAGCUGCGGCAGCGACGCUUAUGCGUUGUUGGGUAGGGGAGCGUUCUGUAAGCCGUUGAAGGUGGCCUGUGAGGGUUGCUGGAGGUAUCAGAAGUGCGAAUGCUGACAUAAGUAACGAUAAUGCGGGUGAAAAACCCGCACGCCGGAAGACCAAGGGUUCCUGUCCAACGUUAAUCGGGGCAGGGUGAGUCGACCCCUAAGGCGAGGCCGAAAGGCGUAGUCGAUGGGAAACAGGUUAAUAUUCCUGUACUUGGUGUUACUGCGAAGGGGGACGGAGAAGGCUAUGUUGGCCGGGCGACGGUUGUCCCGGUUUAAGCAUGUAGGCGGAUGUUCCAGGUAAAUCCGGAACGUUACUAACGCUGAGGUGUGAUGACGAGGCACUACGGUGCUGAAGUGACAAAUGCCCUGCUUCCAGGAAAAGCCUCUAAGCAUCAGGUAACAUCAAAUCGUACCCCAAACCGACACAGGUGGUCAGGUAGAGAAUACCAAGGCGCUUGAGAGAACUCGGGUGAAGGAACUAGGCAAAAUGGUGCCGUAACUUCGGGAGAAGGCACGCUGAUGGUAGGUGAAGUGACUUGCUCAUGGAGCUGAAAUCAGUCGAAGAUACCAGCUGGCUGCAACUGUUUAUUAAAAACACAGCACUGUGCAAACACGAAAGUGGACGUAUACGGUGUGACGCCUGCCCGGUGCCGGAAGGUUAAUUGAUGGGGUUAUCCUCGCGGAGAAGCUCUUGAUCGAAGCCCCGGUAAACGGCGGCCGUAACUAUAACGGUCCUAAGGUAGCGAAAUUCCUUGUCGGGUAAGUUCCGACCUGCACGAAUGGCGUAAUGAUGGCCAGGCUGUCUCCACCCGAGACUCAGUGAAAUUGAACUCGCUGUGAAGAUGCAGUGUACCCGCGGCAAGACGGAAAGACCCCGUGAACCUUUACUAUAGCUUGACACUGAACACUGGUCCUUGAUGUGUAGGAUAGGUGGGAGGCUUUGAAGUGUGGACGCCAGUCUGCAUGGAGCCGUCCUUGAAAUACCACCCUUUAAUGGCUGGUGUUCUAACGUGGGCCCCUAAUCGGGGUUGCGGACAGUGUCUGGUGGGUAGUUUGACUGGGGCGGUCUCCUCCUAAAGAGUAACGGAGGAGCACGAAGGUCAGCUAAUCCUGGUCGGACAUCAGGAGGUUAGUGCAAUGGCAUAAGCUGGCUUGACUGCGAGCGUGACGGCGCGAGCAGGUGCGAAAGCAGGUCAUAGUGAUCCGGUGGUUCUGAAUGGAAGGGCCAUCGCUCAACGGAUAAAAGGUACUCCGGGGAUAACAGGCUGAUACCGCCCAAGAGUUCAUAUCGACGGCGGUGUUUGGCACCUCGAUGUCGGCUCAUCACAUCCUGGGGCUGAAGUAGGUCCCAAGGGUAUGGCUGUUCGCCAUUUAAAGUGGUACGCGAGCUGGGUUUAGAACGUCGUGAGACAGUUCGGUCCCUAUCUGCCGUGGGCGCUGGAGAAUUGAGGGGGGCUGCUCCUAGUACGAGAGGACCGGAGUGGACGCAUCACUGGUGUUCGGGUUGUCAUGCCAAUGGCAUUGCCCGGUAGCUAAAUGCGGAAGAGAUAAGUGCUGAAAGCAUCUAAGCACGAAACUUGCCCCGAGAUGAGUUCUCCCUGACUCCUUGAGAGUCCUGAAGGAACGUUGAAGACGACGACGUUGAUAGGCCGGGUGUGUAAGCGCAGCGAUGCGUUGAGCUAACCGGUACUAAUGAACCGUGAGGCUUAACCU
rnacentral:rRNA from 1 species